UGGGGAAUAUUGGACAAUGGGCGAAAGCCUGAUCCAGCAAUGCCGCGUGAGUGAUGAAGGCCUUAGGGUUGUAAAGCUCUUUUACCAGGGAUGAUAAUGACAGUACCUGGAGAAUAAGCUCCGGCUAACUCCGUGCCAGCAGCCGCGGUAAUACGGAGGGAGCUAGCGUUGUUCGGAAUUACUGGGCGUAAAGCGCGCGUAGGCGGUUUCUCAAGUCAGAGGUGAAAGCCCGGGGCUCAACCCCGGAACUGCCUUUGAAACUAG
rnacentral:rRNA from 1 species